rnacentral:rRNA from 1 species
GUCGUAACAAGGUUUCCGUAGGUGAACCUGCGGAAGGAUCAUUACAUUCAGUAGCCUAGCUACUUGUUUAUACCCUUGUUUUUUGCGUACCUAUUGUUUCCUCGGUGGGCUUGCCUGCCGGUUGGACAACACUAUAACCUUUUUAAAUCUUCAAUCAGCGUCUGAAUUAUACAUAAUAAUUACAACUUUCAACAACGGAUCUCUUGGUUCUGGCAUCGAUGAAGAACGCAGCGAAAUGCGAUAAGUAGUGUGAAUUGCAGAAUUCAGUGAAUCAUCGAAUCUUUGAACGCACAUUGCGCCCCUUGGUAUUCCAUGGGGCAUGCCUGUUCGAGCGUCAUUUGUACCUUCAAGCUUUGCUUGGUGUUGGGCGUUUUGUCUUUUUUACAAAGACUCGCCUUAAAGUAAUUGGCAGCCAGUGUUUUGGUAGUAAGCGCAGCACAUUUUGCGUCUUAGUCCCUUGACAGCGGCAUCCAUAAAGCCUCUUUCUCACUUUUGACCUCGGAUCAGGUAGGGAUACCCGCUGAACUUAAGCAUAU